rnacentral:rRNA from 1 species
CCUACGGGAGGCUGCAGUGAGGAAUAUUGGUCAAUGGACGAGAGUCUGAACCAGCCAAGUAGCGUGAAGGAUGACUGCCCUAUGGGUUGUAAACUUCUUUUAUAUGGGAAUAAAAUGUUCCACGUGUGGGAUUUUGUAUGUACCAUAUGAAUAAGGAUCGGCUAACUCCGUGCCAGCAGCCGCGGUAAUACGGAGGAUCCGAGCGUUAUCCGGAUUUAUUGGGUUUAAAGGGAGCGUAGGUGGAUUGUUAAGGCAGUUGUGAAAGUUUGCGGCUAAACCGUAAAAUUGCAGUUGAAACUGGCAGUCUUGAGUACAGUAGAGGUGGGCGGAAUUCGGGGUGUAGCGGUGAAAUGCUUAGAUAUCACGAAGAACUCCGAUUGCGAAGGCAGUUCACUGGACUGCAACUGACACUGAGGCUCGAAAGUGUGGGUAUCAAACAGGAUUAGAUACCCUUGUAGUC